GAGAAUGAUGAGAUUGCCAUCAUACUAUUGGAAGACGAGUCUGAACCCUGAUGCAUUUUAUCAUGCGGCACUGACGA